UACGUAGGGACCAAGCGUUGUUCGGACUUACUGGGCGUAAAGGGCGCGUAGGCGGCAAUUCAAGUCAGCUGUGAAAUCUCUGGGCUUAACCCAGAACGGCCAGCUGAUACUGCUUUGCUAGAGUGCAGAAGGGGCAAUCGGAAUUCUUGGUGUAGCGGUGAAAUGCGUAGAUAUCAAGAGGAACACCUGAGGUGAAGACGGGUUGCUGGGCUGACACUGACGCUGAGGCGCGAAAGCCAGGGGAGCAAACGGG
rnacentral:rRNA from 1 species